rnacentral:lncRNA from 1 species
AAUUAUAGAAAUCAGCAGGUCCCCAACUUUCCAGUCUGUUACUUGGGCUCUGAGCACUCGCAUUCACUCUCCACACCUUUGUUACACAUUUUCUUAUCUCUCCCCACCAGCUCCAGAUUCAAUUUCUCCUCAUAAUGGAAACAGCAGGAUCCCACACGUAGGGCCUGAAGUUCCUGACAAUGGACUCUAGGGGGCAGACUCCCCCUUUCAGCCUCUGAUGGCCACCUUGGCUUUCUAAAGGGAUUCUUGGCCCAUGCCUAGCAGGAUCGCUCCUGUACGGUGGUACGACUGGAUGAAAGAACGAGAGGCUCGGCUGGUUUGGAGAAGUUCAACUACCAGCGUAUAGCAACAAAGACUAUUCUCUAUAAGGACAGGACAUGGAGGAGCCGAGACCUGGCGUAGGGCUGGUAGCUCAGUACAUUCACAUGGCAGAAGCUUGCACCCCCUCCACCAUCCCAUCUGAGUACCCCCGAGAGCUCAUCCCCAGAACAGGCUCAUCUUCUCUCCCCAGCGUAUUCCUGGCAGGUGUAAUGUACAAACUGCGCUUCUCCUCUGAGAGUUUCUGCUGUUGUUUUUCUUCAUUAACAGAAGAAAUGGAAACACCUUCCGGACUGUGCUUGGUCCAAAGCCAUAAAGAUCCUGUGGGCCUAAUGAGAUUUGUACAAUGCCAGCUAGGCUAUUAACAGAGCCAGUGGGAAUCCACUAAUCAAACAGAGCAGAGGUAACUACAUGGAGCUGGAUGGCAUCGUGGCUUUUACUUGCUUAGCCAAUUUCGCUCACCUGCUCACACCUUGCACACUCAGUCCCACACCUUCUCCAAGCGCUCGCACACUCGCCACAUCCUGACAUACCCAUAAUUGCCACACACAGACCUUUUCACACUCACACGCUCAUUUGUUCCACUUACAUGGACAUGCUCACAUGCCCUCCCACCCUGCUGUUUGUUACGAAUCCAUAGGGAGAGCUGGCGGUGUGUGUAUAUGUGGGUGCUGGAUGCAGAAUAUGAGGGCAGGGACAAGCAAGGUUUGAUGUUAAUCGUCAGAGUUGUGUUGGGGCCAAGGGUUGGGAUAGGAGGGCUGUGCCUCCCCAAACAGCCAGGCGUGGCCCGUCCCCCGUCCCCUAUCCGAU